AUUUCUAAUAAAACUGAUCCUGAUGAUCAUUGACUCACCUUGGAUGAGGCCAACUAUAAAUAUUAUGACAAGGAUAUCCCAAAAGAAAAUGGAGAAUUACCUCACACUUCUAAUGAAUCGAGGAAUGAUGAAGAAACAAAUGAAACUGAGGAACCCAAACUUAAAACCUUACCUGUAAAUUGUGAUGUUGAUAU